rnacentral:lncRNA from 1 species
ACACACUCUCCUUCUGCAACUUCACUCGCACACACACUCUCCCUCUCACCCAAAAUGGGUUCUCGAAGCGGGUCACGCCAGCUGAGCAAUGGGUUAAUCGUCUGGGGUCGACCCGAGCAGCUCAAGGAACGUCAGCCCACAAUGGCUUCCCGCGCCGUGCCGAAACUGGUGGCGACGUCAAGAAGUCCGGCGACCUGGGGAAGAUGUACGGUGUCGGUCCUCCUGGCCCACGCCCGCCCACCACCAACUCUUCUCAAACCCUCAUCGAAGUCCUCAUCUUCACAGCACAAUAACUGCUCCUUAAAUUUCAAGUUAUGUUAUUCAGAAUUAAGUGCAAAAGUCUAACUUUUAAUCUCCAAACCGUCGUUACUGAUGAGGUAUACAACAGACAGAUUUCUCUUUAAUGAGGUCAUGUGUUUUAGUGAUUCUUUUCCGGCUGCUUUGUUCUUAGUUAUCCAGGAAAGUGGUGCAAAAUAUUCAUCUUUCUGGGGGAAGCUUGCUGGGGGUAUCACGUGGAGGACCUAAAGUUAGUGACAUUGUGGAUAGCAUCCAGGUGCUUAACUGACUUUGUUGUAUACAGAUAUAGCUCGCUUGGAUUGUUGCGUUAGAGAUGAAUUUGCUAAUGUUUAUCUAAGAUUUGCUUCUUUUGCUAUUGUCAGGAAAGAGGAAUCAACAUGCUCUUUGUGCUGGGUGGAAAUGGUACGCAUGCUGGUGCAAAUGCAAUUCAUGAUGAGGUAUCUAUGCCUGGCCUCUAUAGUCAUAUAGGGACUUGCUCGGGGUAUCACAUGGAGGACCUAAAGUUAGUGACAUAUAUUGUGGAUAGCAUCCAGGUGCUUAACUG